GAUGAACGCUGGCGGCGUGCCUAAUACAUGCAAGUCGAGCGAACAGACGAGGAGCUUGCUCCUCUGACGUUAGCGGCGGACGGGUGAGUAACACGUGGAUAACCUACCUAUAAGACUGGGAUAACUUCGGGAAACCGGAGCUAAUACCGGAUAAUAUAUUGAACCGCAUGGUUCAAUAGUGAAAGACGGUUUUGCUGUCACUUAUAGAUGGAUCCGCGCCGCAUUAGCUAGUUGGUAAGGUAACGGCUUACCAAGGCAACGAUGCGUAGCCGACCUGAGAGGGUGAUCGGCCACAUUGGGACUGAGACACGGUCCAGACUCCUACGGGAGGCAGCAGUAGGGAAUCUUCCGCAAUGGGCGAAAGCCUGACGGAGCAACGCCGCGUGAGUGAAGAAGGUUUUCGGAUCGUAAAACUCUGUUGUUAGGGAAGAACAAGUGUGAAAGUAACUAUGCGCGGCUUGACGGUACCUAAUCAGAAAGCCACGGCUAACUACGUG
rnacentral:rRNA from 1 species